rnacentral:rRNA from 1 species
UACGAAGGGGGCUAGCGUUGUUCGGAUUUACUGGGCGUAAAGCGCACGUAGGCGGACUAUUAAGUCAGGGGUGAAAUCCCUAGGCUCAACCUAGGAACUGCACUCGAAACUGCGUUUCUUGAGUGCCGGAGAGGAAAGCGGAAUUCCUGGUGUAGAGGUGAAAUGCGUAGAUAUCGAGAGGAACACCUGCGGCGAAGGCGGGUAGCUGGGCCGACACUGACGCUGAGGCGCGAAAGCCAGGGGAGCGAACGGG